rnacentral:rRNA from 1 species
AGCAGCCGCGGUAAUUCCAGCUCCAAUAGCGUAUAUUAAAGUUGCUGCAGUUAAAGAGCUCGUAGUUGAAUUUCGGGACCGAUAUAUCGGUCGUGCCUCGGUACGUACUGGUAUUUUCGGUUUCUCCCUUCUGACGAACCUUGAUGUCAUUAAUUUGGUGUCUUGGGGAAUCAGGACUGUUACUUUGAAAAAAUUAGAGUGUUUAAAGCAGGCUCACGCUUGAAUACAUUAGCAUGGAAUAAUGAAAUAGGACGUUUGAUUCUAUUUUGUUGGUUUCUAGGAUCGACGUAAUGAUUAAUAGGGAUAGUUGGGGGCAUUAGUAUUCAAUUGUCAGAGGUGAAAUUCUUGGAUUUAUUGAAGACUAACUACUGCGAAAGCAUUUGCCAAGGAUGUUUUCAUUAAUCAAGAACGAAAGUUAGGGGAUCGAAGACGAUCAGAUACCGUCGUAGUCUUAACCAUAAACUAUGCCGACUAGGGAUCGGAUGAUGUUAAUUUUUUAAUGACUCAUUCGGCGCCUUACG